AGAAUCAACGCUGGCGGCGUGCCUAACACAUGCAAGUCGAACGAGAAAGGGUAGCAAUACCUGAGUAAAGUGGCGCACGGGUGAGUAACACGUGACUAACCUACCUUUUAGUGGGGGAUAACCUAGGGAAACCUGGGCUAAUACCGCAUAAUACCUACGGGUCAAAGCAGCAAUGCGCUGGAAGAGGGGGUCGCGGCCGAUUAGCUAGUUGGCGGGGUAAUGGCCCACCAAGGCAGUGAUCGGUAUCCGGCCUGAGAGGGCGCACGGACACACUGGAACUGAAACACGGUCCAGACUCCUACGGGAGGCAGCAGUGGGGAAUUUUGCGCAAUGGGGGAAACCCUGACGCAGCAACGCCGCGUGGAGGAUGAAGACCCCUGGGUCGUAAACUCCUUUCGAUCGGGACGAUAAUGACGGUACCGGAAGAAGAAGCCCCGGCUAACUUCGUGCCAGCAGCCGC
rnacentral:rRNA from 1 species